rnacentral:piRNA from 1 species
UGAUCCGUUAGAUUUAACUGCCCUUACU